AGAGAUUGAUCAUGGCUCAGAAUGAACGCUGGCGGCAGGCCUAACACAUGCAAGUCGAACGGGUCCUUCGGGACUAGUGGCGGACGGGUGAGUAACGCGUGGGAACGUGCCCCUUUCUUCGGAAUAGCCUCGGGAAACUGGGAGUAAUACCGGAUAAGCCCUACGGGGGAAAGAUUUAUCGGGAAGGGAUCGGCCCGCGUUGGAUUAGGUAGUUGGUGGGGUAAUGGCCUACCAAGCCGACGAUCCAUAGCUGGUUUGAGAGGAUGAUCAGCCACACUGGGACUGAGACACGGCCCAGACUCCUACGGGAGGCAGCAGUGGGGAAUCUUAGACAAUGGGGGAAACCCUGAUCUAGCCAUGCCGCGUGAUCGAUGAAGGCCUUAGGGUUGUAAAGAUCUUUCAGAUGGGAAGAUAAUGACGGUACCAUCAGAAGAAGCCCCGGCUAACUCCGUGCCAGCAGCCGCGGUAAUACGGAGGGGGCUAGCGUUAUUCGGAAUUACUGGGCGUAAAGCGCACGUAGGCGGAUCAGAAAGUCAGAGGUGAAAUCCCGGGGCUCAACCCCGGAACGGCCUUUGAAACUCCUGGUCUUGAGGUCGAGAGAGGUGAGUGGAAUUCCGAGUGUAGAGGUGAAAU
rnacentral:rRNA from 1 species